UUUCUCAUUCUGUCUGUGGUAGCACAGGAAGGACAGCUUGGACUUUUCAGUUUCAAACAGAUCAAGUUUUGUUAAAUAACUUUUUUCUUCUUCUUCUUCAAACCAGAAGCGGAAGGGAACACUGUGAAGAAAAUGGAAACUGGCAAAGAGCUUUAACUUCAAAUAGCCUUAUGCAUGAGACAAGCAAUGUUCUGACAUCAAGUAAUUAUAAGAUCCAUAUCAUCGUCUGUUUAAGCUUUAGCUUACUAGCUAUUUCUAGCAUUCAUCAUAAAUAUGCUGAUAGGAAAUUGCAUGCUUCUUAUCCUUUAAGAACAACACAUGAAACUGGAUGGGUUCUCAUUUAUCUGCCUGUAAUUAUACUCCAUGCACAAGAGGCCACCCUUUCCUGGAGUAAGACAUCUGCCUGUAUAGCACAGCUGCACCCCAACCCGUUGUUUAAUUCUGCUGGCAAUGCUGCUGCCUCCAGCAGCAUCAAUAUCAUUACUUGAUGCUGUCAGUACCACACACAAUCUAGAUGCACUCCAUAGCAAAGAGGAAGAAUGGAUUUUCUACCACAAGAAACAACCAUUGGUGCAAGAGAUCAACAGCACUGCCGUGGCUGUAGAACCUGGAGUGCUGAAGAGUGUAAAGAUGGAAUAUGCAGAAUGGGAUUCCGACUGCCAUUAACUUAUCAAUGGAGAUCUAUGGGAUCACUCAAUCAGAAGGGCAGAUCUCGGACAGCUCACUCAAAGGAAGAUGAGGGAAUACUACGCCAUACUGAAAAGGCAUCUGGAAAUGAGGCACCUUGCUCUUGUCCUUAAUCCACUGGAGAGAAAGCAGUUCUAUGAAGCAAGCAGAAACUGAAGAGUGGUGGAGGGUUUCCAAGGGAAGAAGUAAGGGCAUUUAAGCGUCGCAUAUAACAUUUCCUUUGAUCCUUAUAAAGAAUAUUUAAAGGCAGUCAGUCAAAAACCUACCAGCUUUACUUUAUGCAGUGAUCUCAGCAUCUUAGUAGAGAAAAUGUGCACAAAGAAAAUGAUACAUAACCUUGUAUUAUGGCAAACAGAAUGGGAAGCAUUUACAGGCAGUCAUUCAUCUGCCACAAUCUGUUUCUUAUUGACUAAAUGAUCUCAGAUAAGUAACAAAUUAACAGACUUAUAUUUCUAUUUAAGGUCUACCUUUGAGCAACACCAUUAUUCAAGUGCUACAUUCCAGGGAAAAAGCCACUUGAGUUCCUCCCAAAGACAACAGUACUGACUUGAUGAAUUUUUCCAAAUCUACGGCUUGCACAAAGCUUCUUCCAGCUGGUUAGUCACAUUCAAUCAAGACAGUUGGUAAUCAAGGACAACUCCACCUGAUGAAGGAUGGGUCCCACUUGGUGGGUCCCCUCUCUCAACAGCCAUUCAUUGCUGAUGAAAUUAAAUUUUCUCCUGAAAUAAUCCUGGAGUCCCAAGAUAGUGAAACUCCCAAAGGGAGAAAUGACUGUUCACCUUGUAAGAGAUCUUGGUGCUCACAUCAAUAGCCAGAAUGAACAGAAAGACAAAACAAAAUAUUUGAAAAUGAAAAUACAACUUUCAAGUUGAUGUAACCCCACAAAGCCCCUAGAAUGGAAGACCCAGGUCAUCAGUGAAAUUUCGAUACAGUUUCACAUACAGAACUCAUUUUCUUUUACCACUGCUCUUCACCUUUACUUUCCUAAAUAACUCUUCUCCUUCCUUCUGUGGAGGAAAGCAAUCUACCAUGCCCAGGUGGAUUUAAUAAGGAAGGUCUAAUACUGGGAGUCAAAGAAUAUGAAUGGAUUAAAAGAUUAGGGAGAAGAGCAUGAAGGCUUUCACCUUUAAGGUUCCUGUUCUGCGUUCAUCUGAUGUCAGCACUGAGUGAGCUGUGUAACCGUCAAAGGGCUGUGGCUGUAUGGAAAUCUUUCCUUCAGCUUCAAGGAGUUACAGUAAGGGAUCAUUUAAAAAAAAAAAACAUCUGAAUAUUCUGAAAACAUUUACUGAGACUGACUGUCAUUACCAAGUCCCAUAUCUGACUUCUCCAUUUCUUCAUAUUCCACCUCUGUAAACCAUGAAGUAAGAUGGCUUUACAGCUAAAAAAAAAGAAAUCUCAUAAUUUUCACUAUUAAAUUCAACUGUAUCAACUACGGCAUGUUAUUUUCCCACUACUUAAAAUCUCUUAAAGACAAACAGACACCACGUUCCAGUGCAGCUUCCUGUUAUUUGAGGUGUUCCUCAUGUAACCAGUUAAACUUGCUAUAAGUGAUAAUCUGCAGCAAACAAACAAAACACACAUAAAAAUGUCCAACCAAAACAGAAGCAGAAUGUGACUUUGGCUAUUCCUCUAAUGGCUGUGACCAAACCAGCCCACGGAAUCCAUGAAUUGCAACUUUACCUCCAUUGUAAUUUUGAUAAAACUACGCAAAGUGGUUCAUUACAGUACUACCAAUAGCUAAAUGUGUAGCAGGGCUGUGCACAUAAAUUCUCAUCCAUCUAUUAAGACACACAUCACUGCUUCAGCUUCAUAAAUUAUGCAAAAAUUAUCUUUUUUUUUUCAGCUGGUAAGGUCCAUAUUUUCACUUUCACAUAUCCAACUGGGAAUGCAACCAACAAAGUGCUCAAGAAGUAAAUCAGCCAUACAUGGGUCAUCUCAUGUAAUGAGCUGCUUCAGAAAGGAGAGAGCUCAACAAGUAGCAUGCUGCUUCUAGAUACUGCAAUAAUAUUCAAAAGAGCUGAGCGUUGUAUUUUGUUCAGGAUUUAAAACCAGCCACGGUUUCCUCCAAAAUUCCUUCAGCUAAAAGAGCAAGCUGCACAACAGAACCACCAGCCAUGACUGAGGCUGGUUUAGUAAUAAACUCAAAACUACAU
ensembl:lncRNA